UACGUAGGGUGCAAGCGUUAAUCGGAAUUACUGGGCGUAAAGCGCGCGUAGGCGGUUCGUUAAGUGGGAUGUGAAAUCCCCGGGCUUAACCUGGGAAUUGCAUUUCAAACUGGCCGACUAGAGUACGGUAGAGGGAGGUAGAAUUUCCUGUGUAGCGGUGAAAUGCGUAGAUAUAGGAAGGAAUACCAGUGGCGAAGGCGGCCUCCUGGAUCGAUACUGACGCUGAGGCGCGAAAGCGUGGGGAGCAAACAGG
rnacentral:rRNA from 1 species